rnacentral:rRNA from 1 species
UACGGGGGGGGCAAGCGUUGUUCGGAAUUACUGGGCGUAAAGGGCUCGUAGGCGGCCAACUAAGUCAUACGUGAAAUCCCUCGGCUUAACCGGGGAACUGCGUCUGAUACUGGAUGGCUUGAGUUUGGGAGAGGGAUGCGGAAUUCCAGGUGUAGCGGUGAAAUGCGUAGAUAUCUGGAGGAACACCGGUGGCGAAGGCGGCAUCCUGGACCAACACUGACACUGAGGCGCGAAAGCGAGGGGAGCAAACGGG